UUAGUAUCAGGCCCAGUGGGGAGAACCUGCAUACGGUCUGUGUCCUAUUAAUUGUUUGCCUGUUGUACAAUGUUUCAAUUUCAUUAUUUUCUUUUGGUGUUUGCUUUCUUCGAACAAGCUCUCGGCAUUUAUCUGCAAGCGUGCUCAGAUGAUUUGAAUUGCAAUUUCAAUACUACGGCACUCAGAUGUUCGAAGAUUGACCAAAAGUGCACUUGCAUCAGAUAUCAUUAUUGGGACCCAAAGAAGAACAUUUGUGUCUUGAAUUACUACUCACUCAAAAAGAGCCUAUCCCAUUCAGAGUCCAAAGAUGAAGAACUGUUUAUAAAAGGCAAAGAAUCAAUAGAAACCAAGAGAUAUCACCAGAACUGCACUCAUGAUGAUCACUGUCAAGAUUUUUCUCUGAUAUGCUCUUCUGAGAUAAAUAAAUGCGUGUGUGCAAAGUUCCAUGAUUUGAUUUUUAACAAGUGUGUCCUGAACUACACUGAGCUGAACCUCUGGCUAGCAAGCCUUGAAAACGAGAAAGAUGUUAAAGCUGAGCUAGACCGAAAGGCAGUCGGCGUGUUUCACCAGCUUGCUUUUUCAGGGAUUUUAGCCAUAGGCCUUGGAAUCCUCGGUGCAUUUUUUUAUGUAUUCAUCUUCUGCUUAAUGAAACACACUCUGCCAUAUACUGAACCGGUAGAUGAACCAGAAAGUCAAAAAUCAAAGGAUGAUAACGUAAAUGAUAUUGAAACUGUUUCUCCGGUGUUUUUAGACUUUUAGCAAGUGAUACACUGCAGGAUAUAUAUUUUUUUGUGGUAAAUCUGAAGUUUGGUCAUUUCCAAGUUUCACACCAAGAAGAAAAAGCAGAUUGGGAUGAUCAAAAAUGUCCAAACUACAAGUGAUGGAAUCACCAAAAAUUCCAUAUGCAUGGUGGAAAAAUAUGGAUUCAGCCUGAAUUGCUGAAAAGUCUGAAAUCCAGAAAGAAGAAACUAUUCAAAAACUGACGACAUUUUUGUUAAAAGAAUUUUAUCAACUUUAAGUUUAAGAAUAAUUGUUCUUAUUUACAAUCUAAUUAUUGAGACCAUGUAAUAAAAAAUGUUUAUUUUCUCCUUUAAUCAAUAUUUUUCUUCUGUCGUUUCUGUUAUCCUUUUGUAUCUGAAUAACAAUUGGAUUAUCAAAUGUAAUUCACAUAAGUAUUAAACACACUUCCUCUUUCAAA
rnacentral:misc_RNA from 1 species